AGACAUGAAGUUGAGUUCUGUGUGGCAUCAGUGAAGAUUAAUUAUAUAAAUUUAAAACAAAUAAUUAAAUAAUGGUUGUUGUUGUAACUCCUUUUCAUGUCUGUAAUUUUCGCAGUUGGGGUUGAUCUAAACAUUCAAAUAUAAAAAACUGGAGGUAGUCAUCUCAGACAUUCUUCUUCUGAUCAGUCGCAUGUUCAAUGAAAUGUUAAAGUGGGCAGGGUCGUCCUUUUAAUAAUGGCACCUCUUUUGUCCCCCAAACUUUCCGAGUCAUUUAUGUGCAUUUGAUGACAUCG
rnacentral:lncRNA from 1 species